GGCACGCCUGCUUGGGUGUCACGCAUCGUAGCCCC
rnacentral:rRNA from 1 species